rnacentral:rRNA from 1 species
UACGGAGGGUGCUAGCGUUGUUCGGAAUUACUGGGCGUAAAGCGCGCGUAGGCGGCUUUGUAAGUUCGCGGUGAAAGCCCGGGGCUCAACCCCGGAACUGCCUUUAAGACUGCAUCGCUUGAAUCCGGGAGAGGUGAGUGGAAUUCCGAGUGUAGAGGUGAAAUUCGUAGAUAUUCGGAAGAACACCAGUGGCGAAGGCGGCUCACUGGACCGGUAUUGACGCUGAGGGGCGAAAGCGUGGGGAGCAAACAGG